rnacentral:lncRNA from 1 species
AAGUGUUUGGAACUAACAGAUGCCGACUAUGCACUUAGAGAAGUUCACGAAAAAAUUUAUGAAAAUUACUUGGGGGGUAAAUCUCUAACUUACAAAGUCUUACGACAAGGAUAUUAUUGACCCAUCAUGAAGAAAGAUGCAGCUGAACUUAUCCGAAGGUGUGAACUAUGUCAGAAAUAUACAAAUAUAUAAUACCAAUCGGUCAGUCAGUUGAC